rnacentral:rRNA from 1 species
GUGAGGAAUCUUCCACAAUGGGCGUAAGCCUGAUGGAGCAACGCCGCGUGAAGGAUGAAGGUCUUCGGAUUGUGAACUUCUUUUAUGAGUGAAGAAUAUGACGGUAACUCAUGAAUAAGCACCGGCUAACUACGUUCCAGCAGCCGCGGUCAUACGUAGGGUGCAAGCAUUAUCCGGAGUGACUGGGCGUAAAGAGUUGCGUAGGCGGUUAUGUAAGCGAAUAGUGAAACCUGGUGGUUCAACCACACAGACUAUUAUUCGAACUGCAUAACUCGAGAAUGGUAGAGGUAACUGGAAUUUCUUGUGUAGGAGUGAAAUCCGUAGAUAUAAGAAGGAACACCAAUGGCGUAGGCAGGUUACUGGGCCAUUUCUGACGCUAAGGCACGAAAGCGUGGGGAGCGAACCGGAUUAGAAACCCCUGUAGUCC